rnacentral:rRNA from 1 species
GUGAGGAAUAUUGGUCAAUGGGCGAGAGCCUGAACCAGCCAAGUCGCGUGAAGGAAGAAGGAUCUAUGGUUCGUAAACUUCUUUUGCAGGGGAAUAAAGUGCGGGACGUGUCCUGUUUUGUAUGUACCCUGAGAAUAAGGAUCGGCUAACUCCGUGCCAGCAGCCGCGGUAAUACGGAGGAUCCGAGCGUUAUCCGGAUUUAUUGGGUUUAAAGGGUGCGUAGGUGGUUUGAUAAGUCAGCGGUGAAAGUUUGCAGCUUAACUGUAAAAAUGCCGUUGAAACUGUCGGACUUGAGUGUAAAUGAGGUAGGCGGAAUGCGUGGUGUAGCGGUUAAAUGCAUAGAUAUCACGCAGAACUCCGAUUGCGAAGGCAGCUUACUAAGCUACAACUGACACUGAAGCACGAAAGCGUGGGGAUCAAACAGGAUUAGAAACCCUAGUAGUCC